CACGUAGGGUGCGAGCGUUGUCCGGAAUUAUUGGGCGUAAAGAGCUCGUAGGCGGCUUGUCGCGUCGACCGUGAAAACUUGGGGCUCAACCCCAAGCCUGCGGUCGAUACGGGCAGGCUCGAGUUCGGUAGGGGAGACUGGAAUUCCUGGUGUAGCGGUGAAAUGCGCAGAUAUCAGGAGGAACACCGAUGGCGAAGGCAGGUCUCUGGGCCGAUACUGACGCUGAGGAGCGAAAGCGUGGGGAGCGAACAGG
rnacentral:rRNA from 1 species